GAUGAACGCUAGCGGCAGGCUUAAUACAUGCAAGUCGAGGGGCAGCGGGGGUAGCAAUACCUGCCGGCGACCGGCAAACGGGUGCGGAACACGUACACAACCUUCCUUUUAGUGGGGGAUAGGCCCAGAGAAAUUUGGAUUAAUACCCCGUAAUAUUAUUAAGUGGCAUCAUUUGAUAAUUAAAGCUCCGGCGCUAGGAAGAUGGGUGUGCGUCUGAUUAGGUAGUUGGUAGGGGUAACGGCCCACCAAGCCUACGAUCAGUAACUGGUGUGAGAGCCACGA
rnacentral:rRNA from 1 species